rnacentral:rRNA from 1 species
UACGAAGGGGGCUAGCGUUGCUCGGAAUCACUGGGCGUAAAGGGCGCGUAGGCGGCCUGAUCAGUCGGGGGUGAAAGCCUGUGGCUCAACCACAGAAUGGCCUCGAUACUGUCGGGCUUGAGACCGGAAGAGGUAAGUGGAACUGCGAGUGUAGAGGUGAAAUUCGUAGAUAUUCGCAAGAACACCAGUGGCGAAGGCGGCUUACUGGUCCGGAUCUGACGCUG